UAUGCCUCAACACUGAAAUGAAUACAACUAUAACAUAGUUAUGCAAUGCACUAUGUCUAAUCAUGGUAUGAAUGCAAUCCACUUAUGCUAUUCACGUUAUUGCCCAAUCCACUAGGCUACUUUGCCUAAGAUCUCAAAUCUAGUAGGUGAAAAGCUACCUCAUUCUUGUCUCAUUCGAUUCAUGUCUUAAGGGUCCUAAGCAAAGAGCUACCCCACUCCUCGCCCGACUCACAUCUCAAGGUCUGACUCAAUCUCGAAGGUCCUAGGCAAAGAGCUACCCCACUCCUUGCCCGACUCACAUCUCAAAGUCCUAGGCAAAGGCUACCCCGCACUUUGCCCGACUCACAUCUCGACCUACUAGGUACAAGGUUACUCCACUCAAAUCUCAUAGGUGAAGGAAUAGUAUAUCAUGAAUGCAUGAGCAAUAAGUAAGCUACUAUGAACACUAGUAAGCUACUAUGAACAACACAACAACUAUGGAAACGAGCUAUCAUGAACAACGAUAAUGAGUAUGACUCAAUAGGUAACCAAAUCUCAUGGUGAACUCGGGGUUCACGAACAUAUCUCACGUGUAAGUCUCAUAGGGGAAAGUCUCACUGAACUAUUUCCCGAGACCGCCUGCGAACAGCACACAGACCGUCCAGACAGCACACUGACUGUCCCUCUAGUGACCAACCUCCGGAGUGCACAGCUUAUGGGGAGCGACCCCUCCAAGCGCAGACAGGCUAUGUGAGCACGAUCAACUCACGAACAUCAGCAACCUACCCUCUAAGGGUAAUCUCAUCAUGGAAUCAAGGUGUUCUUGUACCCAAUCUCAUAAUGUCACAACUACACUAAUGUUCUCAUGUCAAGGUCAUCAACAAUCAUAUGCCUCACAUCAUAGUUUUCUAUGACUAGAUGCCACUUGUCAUAGUUUUCUAAACUAGAUGCCACUUUUAACACUAGUUUCGUCAUACUAAUUCUUUAAUCACAUAAAUAUUAAUCAUCACAUAUAGGGUCUAGGUUCUCAUGCAUACUAGAUCAUGGAUCAAUCAUCAAGAUGUAUAGCUACUAGCAUGCAAAUAUAAGCAAUAACCAUAAUCAUCUAGCACCUAUAUGCAAUAAAUACAAUAUGCAACUUGAUCGAUUAAUGUACUCAACUAAAGUUUAAUCCACAUUAAUCAUGCCCUUAUAGGGUUUCACAACACUAUGUCCCAAUCACAUGCAUACUAGGUACAAGUAUUUAAGCAAAUCAACUUUACAUUACUCUACUAGCAUGCAAGAAUAUAUAUCUAUGUAUAUACAUUUAUCAUCUAGCACCUUAUAAUGCAAAGCUCGAUAUGCAUAAUUGAUCAACAUAGAGAUACUGAGACAUAGGGAGAAGCCCGAUUGCUUCGGGAUGACACCCCCCACCUUUUAUCGCGUUCCGAUUGCUCGUCGCCACUCGCAAUCGGCCUCCCACGGCGCACGCCGCUCGGCUUGACCCAAUCCGCGCGCGACCACCAAAUGACCUCCGAUCUGCGAUCCGAAAAUUAAAGGUCUUCAGUUUCUUGUUACGAUGCUUCAAAUCCGUUUCCAGGAUUUUACGACGUCGCCUCGGCCCUCCAGGCGGAAACGAAGCCUAAACGUCCGCUUCUUUAAUAACUUCUCACCGGCUCGACGAAUCGCCGAACCGUCGCUUCCAACGCGUUCAGUGACCUAUCAAUUAGGUUUAUACAUGAUCAAUUUAGAUCAAAACCCCUCAUAAGCAAAACCUCUCUUUUGAUGCCCUAAGAUGCAACUAUGCAAGAAUUCAUCAUUUGAUCUCUAAAUUCGAGUAUCAACCAUCUAUUUAGCAUCUAGGAGUUUCACUAAACCCAUUUCUAAGGCAUACAAAUCGCUACUUAGCAAUCUAUCAUUGUUGCUAUCAAAGCUUACCUCUUAAACCCAAGCUUUCUUCAAGCCAAUGGUGAAGAAAAAGAAGGCUUCACCUCUAAGCAAGCUUUUUCUUCUCCAAAUCCACCUCCAAUUCUCUUUGGUGGAGAAAUUGCUAGAGAGAGAGAGAUCUUUCUCUUUGGUUGUAAGUGAGAGGGAAGGAGAGAAAAGGCUCAAUUCUUCAUAUAUGUAUAUAUACAUAUAGGAAACUUGACCUCCAAGUUUUAUCCAAGAACACUACUCACAUUCAGGCAGCUCGAAAUCUGAUAUCUUUCGCCGGAGCCCUCUGAAUAUCCGUUUGAGCUCAAAUUUGACAGUCAUGUUUGGUUUAACGUACUGAACAAGAAUAUAUCUUAAGUUUUCAGUUUCGACCUCGUUUGGUCACUGAAAGCUACACCGAACUGUAAUAUUUAUCAGAUAACUGUUGGAUUUUAUUUCUCACUCUACGGGUGUCAGAAAAAUAUGAAACCUUAAAUCUAGCCUCAUAAAAAUAUUUCUGACUUAUCCUCCAAUUUUCAUAAUUCUCUGAGACUGUGUAUUUUCUGCUAAUUUAUCUGUCCUGUUUCUCACAGAAAAUCCUAAAUCUUCUGUUUUCACUCCGAUUUCAGCACAAGUCAUUCCUAACCUAUAUUUCACUUCUCUAAAUCCAAUAAAAAUAGUAUUUCAUACUAUUUUUAUUUAUUUUUAUUUUUAUAUCUAAAUCCGGUAUAUUACAUUACACUGCCACCUCACCGGAACCAUUUAAAUGUACACCGUAACUUCAUAUUUUUAGAAGUCCGGUACCUUACAUCUAGGAAGUCUACCACGUCCUGUGGAAAGAGAUCGGGAUUUUUGAGACAAUUCAACUUUCAAGACACCUUCUUCUGUUGACAACCUCCUUCUCACUUCUGUCUUAAGUUUUUAGUCUUCGGCUUAUAACACAUUCUUCUUUAGUUCGGGACCCUUCACUUCGCCUUGUUUGAUACAACCACUAUUACUGGUUUUCAUCGUCAUAGCACCAUUAUCUCUUCGGCUCUCAAUCUUGGGCUGUCGAGUUCAACGAGAGCUUGGAUUGAAAGGCAGAUCUUAUAUUGCGAAUUUAUGAAGGUAAUCGCGAGUCACAACCAAACACCUCAGAAUUAGGAGCACAUCGCCUUUCUAUUAUAUUGGUUGUACCAUAGCUUUUUUUUGCUCUCGGUCCUAAAAGAUUAAUUGAGACUUCAUUCCGAUCGUCGUCGCUCUGGCUAACGGUGACAAACUUGCUCUCGUUUUCGUUCUUAUACCGAGAGAUCUUUGAAUCGAUCAAGUAGCUACACAAAAAGAAGAUUGGUGCCAUAUCGGUUCAAGCUGUGAGGUUUUUUGCUUUCUUCAAAUUUGCCUCUAGUUAUAUUUCCACCUAUCUCUAGCGAGUGCCACUCUAUCCCAAUUCACUUUAGCAAUUCAACACCUGUGGGCUUACACUUAGUUGCCUAGAACCAUUAACCCCAAAACAACCCUCUGACUUCCCAAAUUACUUUCGAGUUUUUUAUUCUGAGGAGAGCCGAUCAUUCGACUAUUGGACCUCUUUUGGAGAGCGAUCAAUUAGUUCACACUAGUUUAGAGAACGUUUUGAGUAUAUCCGUAAUUGGUGUAUUCUCUAGAAGUAUUUGAGCAUAUUAAGAUAUAGUACUCUUGUUUGGCAGCCUAGGAUCUCUAUAUUGGCUUGAAGAAGUGAUCAAAUCUUGAGCUAAGUACGAAAGUAUAUUCCAUAUUUUAUAGUUGGACAAUCUGGCUUAAUUCGAGUGCUUCCGACCCCACCAAAAUUUUUCACUUUCAAAAUUUCUUGGUCUCGCCCAACUACCAAGCAAGUAACUGAAGAUGACCAUAUCUUGGUAUAUGGGAAAGCAUCUGAAGCCGAACUUCAUCUCUGUAGUCUUUCAGCCGACUAGACAGGAAAUCUUUUCUGACUUUUAUCAACAUUCAUGGGGGAUUUAUGCAACAUUUUAUUCCUAUUGACCCAAAGAACUGUCUUCAUAAAUUUCAUUUUAGCUCCAAUCGAUCCUACUUCGAAAGAAGAAAAAUCCAAAGAUACCCCUUGAACUUCUUUUCUUUCAGCUUCUUAUGUAUAAUUUAUCUUCAAGUUUGAACAAUCUAAGGGAAAGGAAGUUGCUAGUGAUGCACUCGAGAGUGAAGCCUUAGAUGAUGGUUCAAAUGAAGAAAAAGCUUUCUAUCCCAAACCUUAGUGGUAAUUUCCUUAUGCUUUCCCUUUUCUUUUAUCAACUCUUUAUUUAUUUUGCCUAUUCUUUUUCAAUCAGCUAGUUUGCAUUUUCAACUACCGAUUCAAAUUUCUCUACAUCAAGCUAUAAAUUGUUCAGCUGAUGAAACUAUUCAAUCUCCGCUAGCUCCAAAAAAAAUUAAAAGUUUCAAUUGCUUAUCUUUCUAGGCAAACUUUGAAAGAAGGAAUUCAAGUCCGCGAACAAUAAGAAACACAUGCCCUCAUUGAUCAGCUUCAAGAAGAGAGCCGAAAAUAGAGGGAAGAGGCCUUUUUUUUAAAUUCUUACUAAAGUGAGUCAAAGGCCCACUUUACGAGAACUAGCGACUCAACAGCAAAAGCAAGAGGCCGAGUGACUCCAACUCAAGAAAGAGGUAGAGACUGUUAAGUCUUGUGUGUUGGCAAGUUUCGUGAAGUGAGUCGGAGUCUUGAAGAAUCGGUGAGUGUCGUCGAAGAUUAAAGAAUUCAAGAUUUCGAAAAAGUUGGAAAGUAACUCACGAUGUGAAUCACGACGUAAAGGUAAUGUGUUAAUUCAUGUUAUGGUGAUUCAUACUUAGUUAUAGGCAUUAGAAUCAUUAUUAUUGAUGUUUAGCUGAUUAGAAAGUGCUUUGGAACUCUGCGGAACCUGAAACAGUGCAAAAGUGUGAAAAAUGCACUGUGUACCGGUACAGCAAUUGACCCGUACCGGUACAACCAUCAACUUUGGCUUCGCAAAUUUUUGUUCCGUCAUCGUGUAACCGGUGACAGCCUUUCGUGUAACGGUACACUGUGUAAAAUCGUGAAAACUUUCUAAUCCGACUACGUUUGAUUCUAAAGUCUAUAAAUAAGCUAUUGGGGUUCUCUAACUAAUCAAGCAUCACGAGAAUACAUGUUUGAGAAACCCUAGAGGCUCGGAUUUCAUCUAAAACCUAUUUUCUACAUAAAGCCUCUUUUAGGUCAAAUCGAGAUUUUGGAUUUUGAUAUCAAUAUGUCGAAUUGAUCUCCGUUUCGCUUGGAGUUCGCUUCCCUGGUUUUCAUCGAUACUCUAAGCGAAGGAUCACCAUACACAUAAUGUUCUUCAUGAUGGCGUUGUGGAUUCGGCGUGAUUGACGGCGGUUCGUGGAUUCGGAUCGUGGGCUCGUGGAUUCGAGUGGCGUUCGUGGAUUCGGACGUGUGCGAGGCGUUCGUGGAUUCGAACGUGAGGGCGUGGACAACCCGGAGGAUUGCGCAAGGUUCAUAGGAGGUUAAGAGAGGUUGAGUCUGUGGAGUCGGUAAUCACCUUGUAAUCUUUUCUCUUAGUGAAUUGUUUUUUCCCGUGUUGGUCCCGUGGGUUUUUCUCCAAGUUGGAGUUUUUUCACGUAAAUCUCGGUGUGAUUUUAAUUUUCCGCAUUUAUUUUUAUCGCAUUGAGAUUUGUGGUUUUUGGCUAUUACACCUAUUCACCCCCCUCUAGGUGUUAGAUACAAUCUAGAUAGAUCCUUGGGCUCCUCAAAACUUUCAAUUGGUAUCAGAGCAGGAUCUAGAUAAAUUGUUAUCUAUUGGCCGAAGGCGGAAACAUUAAUCGACCACCGCUCUUCGACGGCACAAAUUAUGCCUAUUGGAAUGUUCACAUGAGAGCUUUUCUAAUCGCUAUCGAUGAGCACGUUUGGCAAUCAAUAGAAUUUGGAUGGAAACAUCCUAUUGAAAAGGUCGAGAAUGUUGAAACGCCAAAACCACGGAACAAGUGGACGAAAGAUGAAAAUGAGGCAUCUUCAUUUAACGGCAAGGGCAUAAAUGCUUUAUUUAAUGCAUUGUCCCAAACGGAGUUUACUCGUGUUUCGGCGUGUGAAACCGCCAAGGAGAUUUGGGAUACUCUACAAGUUACACAUGAAGGAACGAGCUUAGUAAAGGUCCAAAAAUUGCAAAUGCUAACAAGCAAGUUUGAUUCUAUUUCUAUGGAUAAAAACGAGACCUUUACCGAGUACUAUACGCGUCUACAAGAUGUUGUGAAUACAUGUGCUAACUUGGGAGAAAAAAUUCCGGAUUCAAAGGUUGUUAGAAAGAUUCUUCGAACUCUUCCAGAACGCUUUCGGGUAAAAGUUGCCGCGAUCGAAACCGUUAAGCAUCCGGACGAGAUGAAAGUCGAAGAGUUAGUAGGCGCUUUACAAACGUAUGAGAUGACUUUUCCUACUAAUCAAUCUUCUUCCAAGUCUUUUUCUAAAAGCACAGGGGUUGCAUUAAAGUCGACGAAGGAGGAAGAUAAGGAUUCAAAUUUCGAUGAAGAUAUAUCGCUUGCUGAUUUCGAACAUCAACUUGCACUAUUAACGAAGAAGUUUUGUCGAAACUUUCGGAACAAGCACAAGUUUGACAAGGCUACAUGGUCUAAGCAACAAACGUUUUGUAAGUCUUCAUCUUCUAACGAGAAGAAGCAUGCAAAGGCUUGAAAAUAAAAGGAUGUAUUUGAAGGCGAGAUCCGAUGCUACAAGUGCAAAGGCUACGGCCACAUCGCAACGGAUUGUCCUUCAAAGAAAUUGUAUACUAAGAAGGCAUUGCAAGCAAAGACGUGGGAUGAUACAACUUCAAGUGAAUCAAGCUCAAGUGACGAAGAAAGAAUGGAAAUCUUGCUUUAUUUGCUAAAUCUACCUUGCCUUCGUCUAACGUUGUUUGUUUAUCCUCUAUUGCUACUAAUUCCAAUAUUUCUCUUUUUCGCAUGAUUCUUCGAGCAACAAUGGCGAAAGCGAGGAGGAAUCAAACGACGACGACAUAGCGGAAGCAUACAAUCAACUUCUUAUUGAAUCAAAGAAGAUGGCUAAACUUAAUAAGAAGUUGAGACGUCGUUUGUUGAAUCUCGAAGAGAAAAACAACAACUUAACGAUCACGAACAAAGCCCUCGAGGAGGAAAGGGAAUCAAUUUUGAAAAAUAAUUCGGACCUCCAAGAGAAGCUUAAUGAAGCAGAAUCAACAAUCAAAUCCUCUAAAGACAAGAUUGGAUUUUUUGAGCAUCAAUUUGAGGAAACCUACACAUUCAAUCAAUCCUUGACCAACCAAGUUCGACAACUCAAAUCCGACAUACUAAAGUUCUCAUCGGGAUCGAAGAAAUUAGAUCAUAUGCUCGGGUUGGGUCAAACGGAUAAGUUAGGCUUCGGAUACGAAAGAGUUUUUGUUGAGAAGGGUUCUAAAUCAACUUUGAAAGUCUCGGCAACUUUGAAAGACAAGGCGUGUCAUCGAUGUGGCGUCAAAGGACACAUCAAAAGGAAUUGCCCAAACAAAGAAAAGAUGAAUCGAUCGACAAGGUCUUCACAUCGAUCAACAACUUCUAAACUCCAAGCAAAUCGGUUUUCUUAUGUGCAACACCAAAUCCGACAGAACCCAAAAGCUAAUCGGAUUUCUAAACCUCAACGACAAAUUCAAACAAAGCCUCAAGCGAAGAAACCACCAACGGUUGAUCAAAAAUCUAAGCAAACGGCACCAAACGUCGACAAGCCGAGAAAAUCAAAGAUCCGACAAGUUUGGAUCCGGAAAGGUGAUAUCUUUCAUUGCUUCUCGUCUUAGUUGUUUUCUUGUGUAGUGCUUUGAUAGGUGCUUAUUGCUUAUUUUUAUUCAUUGCAUUACAUGUUUAAAUUUUUUUUUUUGUGCUUUGAAUUUUGUUUGUUUACAAAAUUAUUUUGAGGAAAGGUGUUUAGGAAUUCAAAAUUUUUAAGAAAGGAGAUGAUUGAAAAUCAUUAUUUUGAAGUGAGAAAUUUUUUCAAAGUCGCUUAAACGGUGUUUAACUUCACAAUCAUAUUAAGUUAAAUUCAUAUUAAUUAUCAUUUUUACUCCACUUUUUAUUAUUUUGAAGAUAAUUUGAUAUAUGAUUUCUCAAUACAUAUAUUCAUCAAAAUUUUGAAAUCAAAUUUGAUCUCUUGGUGAUUAAUCUAUCUCGGUUGUGUGUAUUGAAUAUGAUAGAUGGAUAUUUGCUAAUAGACUAAAAUUUGUCAAAAUAUUUUCAAUUGUGAGAUUGUCUAAUUUAGGGGGAGUUUGAAUUUAUUAAAAAAAAGGGAGAAAACUCCUAUGUUUAAAAAGAUGUGGAAAGAGUUAUAUCCAAAAAGAGUGUGAAAACUACCACCACAUGUAGGAAAGAGCUACCACCCCGGUCGUCCGGCAAGUGUGUGAAGCUACCACAUGAAGAUUGAGUUGAAUAACCGAAAAGGUUGAGAAAAAUUUGAAUAUUUUAGAAUUUUCGGAGUUAUAAGGUGAUAGAUUGAAAAUGAUGCUCAAAGAGCCACCCCCGGUAUCAUAUUAAUUAAAUUUCUAUUUUGAACGGAUUGUAACAAAUUGGUGUCAAUUUUGUCGAAUUUCUAAAAAUUAUUUUUCGUGAACCAUUACAUCUUGAUGAUUUUGAAACUUGAGGUCAGUUUUUAUAAUGAAAUUUUGAUGUCUCGAUGCAUUUUGAAAUCUUAUAAUAAUUUAUUCUCAUUUUAAUGAUUUUUGGAGUAAAAUCCUUAAUUUAUAUGAAAUUAAUUUAACUUGAUGGAUUUUUAAAGUAAAUUUUUCGAAAUCUGGGGAUGUGUACCGGUACACAAUCCCGUGUACCGGUACGGUUACUGUAGCCGCGGAAAUAUAACCGGUUACAGGGCUUUAUUUCUCACUCAAAUCAAAACCAAACUUCGCUCUUUCUCUCUCUAAAAAUCCCUAGUGCUUUCCUCUUCCAGAUCUACAUGAUUUCCCUCAGAAAUUUGUGAGUAUUUAGCUUGGAUUUAAUCAUUACAUCGCGUUCAUGCCUAUUUUUCGAAAAUAUUCCGAGUUGAAGCUAGAUUUCUAUUUUGAUUUAUUUUUGAUGCAAUUUUUUGCUGUAGAUCAGUGUUUAAUGACAUUAUCUUGCUUCUAGAACACUUGAAUCACAUCAAAACACAUUAUUUUUUGCUGAUCUAUUUUCUAAGUUCAAUUUGCAUGUAAUUUCGGAAUUUUUGAUAAAAUGUCAUUUUUGAUAAAAAAAAUUUUCAUGAUCUGGUUAGAAAUAGCAUUUGUAUGCAUUCUAAUGUUAUUAGAAAUCUUUUCGCUAUUUUUACAGAUUUUUUCAAAGUUUUGUUCAUGCAAGGUUAAUUUUUGUAUAGGAAAAAUGGCGUUUUCGCUUGUGUUGAUGAUUUUGGUGCUGAUGGCCGCAAGACGUGAUUGAGGUGGUGGUAGAGGUCGUCGUGGGGCCUCUAAGAGGACACGUACAGCUGAAGAAGCAUCCGGAUCUGAUCCGGAUUAUCAGGCAAGCUCCCCGGAAGAGGCUGAAGAACCUGUUGCUCGUCUUGACAAGGGCAAAGGAAUAGCUGGAGAAUCCUCGCGUGGCGGUGGUUCUCGUGCAAGAGAAACUCGGUCGAAGCAUGCCGCGGAUGUUCCCCCAGAGCGACGGAGGAUGUUCAUGAGCAAGUCUUGUAUUGGAGAGCAUUAUGUCAACUUCAAUGAUCUUAUACAUGACGUUCCUGACUUUAGGCGACUACUUCAGCGGGUUCCUAUUGAGCCAGUUGGUAGGGUUCCUGCUCGGGCUCCUUUUUGUGUGGAACUCAUUCGUGAGUUCUAUAUGAACGGGAAGGUACUUGCAGAAGAUGAAGAGACCGGGACUUUUCUUUUUGAGACAGUUGUGCGUCAGCAGAAGGUUGUCGUUACCCCAUAUACUAUUGGAGAGCUUUUGGGGAUGAAUGUAGACACUACUGGUCUUCUUUAUACAUCAGGAGGAUUUCAAUUAUCAUCUCACUGGGAUAUAGUUGUAGCAGCUAUCUGCAAAGUUGGAGUGCAAACGAAUCGAGCUUAUGUAGAGUCCAAGGAUUUGCGACCAGAGUAUCAUCUGCUGUCCUUGGUCUUGAGCUACAAUGUACAACCAACGAUUGGAACAAAAAGGAUUCGUUGGGAUCGUUUGCUUCUACUGUUUCUACUUGGUCACCCGGAGCAAGUAUAUGGAUUGAACAUCAACAUUCCUUUUCUGAUGUGGCAGCGGAUGAUUCAUGUCAUUCAGGCUUCUGCUUGACGGGAUCUACUUCCAUUUCCUCUUUUGAUCACGAGGAUUCUGCAAGAUAAUGGAGUGGAUGUUUCUUGCGAGAAGUAUGAUUUUGGUCUUGGUCCAAUCGAUGCUGUUACCUAGGCCAAGUUGGUCAGCACUCUAAAGACUUUUCAGCAAACAAAAGGACCCUCGCGAGCAGCUCCUAGCCAGGCACCUCCACCACGUGCAGAGCGUGAGGGAUCUUCCAGUUCAGGGGGAGAAUCACUUCGCCAUGAAGUACGAUCUUUGAAGAAGAAACUGGCAGAUCUUGCUAGAAAGGUGGAAGUGGGUAUGAAGAGGAUGAUGGACAAAUUAGGAUGUAGGCAUUAUGAUAUUUUUCCGACUCAGCCUGUCUAUACGAGGUCUACUUCGCGACAUCCUCUUAUUCGUCCAUUUACUGGAGCUUCAAAUACGGGAGGUUCUGGAGCUGGCGCUGGAGCUGAUGAUGAUGAUGACGAGGACACAGAGUGAUUUCUUUGUCGAGCUUAGUCUUUCUCUUUCACUGUAUUUGCUGUUUAGGGUGAUGUUUUAGUUUAGUUUUUCUUGCUUAUCUUUUUUUGGCAUGUUUUUAUUUUUGUUUUAGGCCUGUAACUAUGACUUGACUACUCUUUUGCUUCUUAGUGUAUUUCCUAUCUAUAUGCUUUCUUUUGGCAAUUUUUGACAAAAAGGGGGAGAUCAUAAGAAGAACGGGUAUUGAUCAAAGCAGAGCAAUGGAGAGGAUGAUGAACAAAGGGGGAGAAGGAUCGACAAAGUGGGAAAAGGAUCGAGUACAAUAAGAACGUUGAGAGAACAUGAAUUGAAUGUAAGAUUUCUAUAUCUUUUUGAUUGAUCUGUUUUGCAGGACUUCAAGACUUCAAGACUCCUAGUUGCGUCUAAGUCAUAGAGUCUGUUUUAGGAGUUUAUGAUGUACUUUUGAGUUUCAAAUUGUAUUUGGACUACAUGCGAGGGGUUCGAUGUUUUGGUGAUGACAUUGAACUUUAUUUUUUUCUUUAAAUUGUAAUUUUUGAGUUUGUGUGAGUUUUGUCACGAAAUUGCUAAAGGGGGAGAUUGUUAAGUCUUGUGUGUUGGCAAGUUUCGUGAAGUGAGUUGGAGUCUUGAAGAAUCGGUGAGUGUCGUCAAAGAUUGAAGAAUUCAAGAUUUCGAAAAAGUUGGAAAGUAACUCACGAUGUGAAUCACGACGUAAAGGUAAUGUGUUAAGUCAUGUUAUGGUGAUUCAUACUUAGUUAUAGGCAUUAGAAUCAUUAUUAUUGAUGUUUAGCUGAUUAGAAAGAGCUUCGGAACUCUGCAGAACCCGAAACAGUGCAAAAGUGUGAAAAAUUGUCACACCCCGGGACCCAGCGGAAGCUCGCUCGGCGCGUGUCCAGACCCGCCGUACGUCUAAAACAUACAAGACGUCUAAGAUAAAGCGGUAAAAAAGCAAUAAAGAGAAAGCAUCUAAGUGUAUCACAGCAAGAAUACAACGAAGUGCUACAACAAGAAGAAGAACAUGAUGCUGAAAACCCACUAAGUAAAACAUAAGGUAAUACAAAAGGAGUCCCAUAACAAGUACUAGUCUAAAUACAAGGUGGUCUCUCUAUACAUGGUGCAAAAUCUCUCCUCCUCCUCUCAACACAAACAAAGAAGGAGUAACCACCUAAAGCAAAACGGACUCUCUCUCCGAGCUAACUACGCGACACCCUUGCCGUGGUCCCGUGCCUCCGCCUGUGCCGAAGGCUCUGAAAAGAAAACAUAGAAACAGGGGCGUGAGAACUAUUAAAUAAUAGUUCCCAGUGGGCAAUUACUGACUUCAGUGAAUGCGCCACUAGGCCCAAAGGCUACAACAAAAGGGUCAGUAUACAAGUAUAAGCCAAAGCAAUAAGAACAGCUAGGAAAUAAAUAUAAAUACUAUUUAACCAUGAUGUCUCUACUUAGCAUGAUUUGCAUAAGUAAGAAGGCAGUUACUACAAGUAUGUGCACCAGAGUAUCCAACAUGCAAAUGCAUAAGUAUACAACUAAUCCAAUGUCCACAAUGUAAAUAGUAAAAAUGUCAUUGUUUACUAUUCUAGUCAAUGUCCACUUGUCACUUUAAAUGUUUACGGUUCAACUUUGAUAAGACCCACCCGAAGGCUGUCUGGCAUAAGACCCACCGGAAGGCUGUCUGGUUUUACCGUGCCUAAUGGCCCCGUGAUAGUCAACAUCCCCACCGUAGGAAUGAGCCUUUCCCACGGCAAUCCACUUCGGCGCCCAGUCCUGCACGGCGAACGUAUCGCGAUGGCCAACUCCGGAGUGCCGGCUUGUAGGGAGCGACCCUCACAAGCAUGUGCGAAUGAGCACAAUGGCAAGCAUGCGUAUAAGUCUGUCUCAAGUACCAAGUUCUCAUGUCUAUGAACAUGGAAUGUAUCGAAUAUCACAAAGGCCUAUCACUAUGUCAUCAUGUCUCUAACAUGAAAUAUAGUCGAUGUCCAAUGGCCUAUUACUAUGUCUCUAUGUUGCAUUUUCAUAGUUUACUAGUUUCAAGUGCCUCUUUAUGACACUAUUGUUCAAUGAGUCCAAGCAUGGUAUCUAAGUUCAUGAAUACAUAAUUCUACUCAUUUCAAACAUAAGAGACAUGUUCUCAACUUACAAGGUCAACUACCCUUCACAAUGCAUGCAGUCUACACAUAUGGCUCUACUAUAUAGAGUGCAAUUUCAUGAUACAUAUAGCAUGCAUUUCAAGUGUUUUAAAAUUCACAUAAAUCAUGUUUAACAUGGAUUUGCAUUCAAAAAUACUUUACGACAAGUAUAGAAACAUAGGGGGGCCAUUUUGCCCCAUGCUCAUGAAGCCAAACCCACCGAGAUACCGAAACCCUUCGUAAGCUCCGAUGAAGGUGUCGACUAGUCUCCUAGCAUCCUAAAGAUGUAGGAACAAGGGUCAAACAAAACUCACGAUCAACCCUAAACUCAAUCCAAAAGCAAUAUAGGCUAAGGUGGAGAAAACUCACCUAGGUGAAGAAACCCUCUCUCAAGCUCCAAAAGGGAGUUAGAGUUCUUCAAAUCCAAUCCAAAUAAAGGUUCUAAACCCAUCAAUUAGGUUUCAAAGCCCUCAAAUCAAAAAUACCCAAAACAAACCCUAAAUCCCAAAAUCUAGGGUUUCAUCUAGUAAAAUCUAGAAAAACUUGUAUUAAAUGGAGAAUACAAGCAACCAACCUCAAGAGAAGCUUCAAUCCAAGCUCUAGACUAAGUAGAGUUAAAGUUUGAUCCUCCACAAAGCUUCAACCGCAAGCUCCAAGCCACCAAAGUGAGAAAUGAGGAAGAAGAUGAUGCUCCAAGGCCUCCAAGCAAGAUUCUCUCCUUCUUCUCCAACUCCUUCUUCUUCUCCUUCUCUUUCUCUCUCUAGGGUGCAAAAGGGUUGAGAGAAAUGAGGAAAAGAGAGAGGAGAAAGGCUCUCUAUAGCCUUUAAAGUAACAAAAUCCUGAUAAGCCCCUCAAAAAUUCACUCUGUGCACUGCUCGGUCUGGGCAGAUUUCGCGCUGAGCGACCGGUCUCUCCCUGCAUGGGAUCGGUCUCUCGUGUCGAACCCGAAAAACCAACGUUCGGGAAUCGGUCUCUCCCCGCCAGGGACCGGUCUCUCAGACCCUUCUCGCAAAACACGCGCUCGGGAACCGGUUUCUCCCAGCCAGGGACCGGUUGCCUCAAGUCCUGCUGCAGCACUGCGCUGAGGGGACCGGUCUCUCCUAUCAGGGACCGGUCCCCGAGAGUGAAAACUCUCAGGACUAAGUCAAAACUCUAGAGAUCGAACCUUUAGGCCGGAAUACCAUCUACGGCCUUCCACCAAGUGUGGAAAAGUUCGAAGUACACAUCAAACACUCGAACCUCGCAAUUUGUAAAGGUCCAGUGCGCUACAAAAAUGCACUGUGUACCGGUACAGCAAUUGACCCGUACCGGUACAGCCAUCAACUUUGGUUUCGCAGAUUUUUGUUCCGUCAUCGUGUAACCGGUGACAGCCUUUCGUGUACCGAUACACUUUGUAAAAUCGUGAAAACUUUCUAAUCCGACUCCGUUUUAUUCUAAAGUCUAUAAAUAAGCUAUUGGGGUUAUCUAACUAAUCAAGCAUCACGAGAAUACAUGUUUGAGAAACCCUAGAUGCUCGGAUUUCAUCUAAAACCUAUUUUCUACAUAAAGCCUCUUUUAGGUCAAAUCGAGAUUUUGGAUUUUGAUAUCAAUAUGUCGAAUUGAUCUUCGUUUUGCUUGGAGUUCUCUUCUCUGGUUUUCAUCGAUACUCUAAGCGAAGGAUCACCAUACACAUGAUGUUCUUCAUGAUGGCGUCGUGGAUUCGGCGUGAUUGACGGCGGUUCGUGGAUUCGGAUCGUGGGCUCGUGGAUUCGAGUGGCGUUCGUGGAUUCGGACGUGGGCGAGGCGUUCGUGAAUUCGAACGUGAGAGCGUGGACAAUUCGGAGGAUUGCGUGAGGUUCAUAGGAGGUUAAGAGAGGUUGAGUCUGUGGAGUCGGUAAUCAUCUUGUAAUCUUUUCUCUUAGUGAAUUAUUUUUUCGCGUGUUGGUCCCGUGGAUUUUUCUCCAAGUUGGAGUUUUCCCACGUAAAUCUCGGUGUGAUUUUUAUUUUCCGUAUUUAUUUUUAUCGCAUUGAGAUUUGUGGUUUUUGGCUAUUACACCUAUUCACCCCCCUCUAGGUGUUAGAUAUAAUCUAGAUAGAUCCUUGGGCUCCUCAAAACUUUCAGAGACCUCUAAAAGAAAGAGUCAAGAGGAAGUUGUCGAAGCGGAACUCGACAUGAGGACUCGUGUAGCUUCGUAGAAGAGAAAAACAGGCUCGACAAGAAGCUUGAAAAUAGGUGGAAAAAAAGAGAAGAAAACUAAGAGAAAAAAGGGAAAAAGAAGAUAAAGAGGAAAUGAAAAUAAAAGGCGAAGAAAAAGAAGAAGGAAGAACAAGAGAAGAAAAAAAAUAGAAUAGAAAAGUGUAGAAGAAGAAAAGAAGAUAAGAGAAAAAUAAGAAUAAAGGAAGAGAAGAGAAAAAAACAAAAAAUAAGAAAGAGGAAGAAAGAAGGGACGAAAAGAAGAAGAAGAAAAAUAUAGGGAUUUCAGCUGGAAAUCCUCUUGAGCAAUCAAUCGAAACAGCAGAGACCGAUCCUACCACAAUUCUGCCCAAGUGGUCAUAGGUAGGGGUGUAAUGUGGGCAGUGUCGAGCCGACACAACCCACAUUAUCCGGGCCGAAACGGGCUAGGCAGGGCCAGCCCAACAUAAAAUUAAUCUGGGCCGGGCCGUGCUAGGCUCGAGCUCCCUAGCCUCCGGCCCAGCACGGCCCCUUGGCCCAGAAGUCACGGGGCGUGCUCUGAGCCGGCCCCUUGAAGUUUUUUUAAAUUAGUUUUUAAAAAUAUAUAUAUAAUCUAAAAGUAUAAACAAUAAAUUAUUUCUAUUUAUAUUGAUAUUUUGAUUAAAAAAUUUAAAAUUUAUAAAUAUAAUAAUAAUAAAAUCACAAAUAUAUAUAUAUAUAGGCUGGGGCUACUAUACUCAUAUAAGUAUAGAGCCCAUUGUACUCAUAUAUAAGUUUUCGGCCGUUCGGAUGAAGAAAUGUGCGGUUAAGAUGAGAGUGGUUACGGUUAGGUUGAUAGUGGGUCCCCUAGGGUUGAGUGAGUGGUUGGUUGAAUAGUAUAAUCUAACGGUUUAAAUGAUUAAAGAAUCGAUCUAACGGUCAAAAACUUAUGAGUACAAAAGGCUCUAUACUUAUAAGAGUAUAGUAGCCGGACUCUCUCUCUCUCUCUCUCUCUCUCUCUCUCUCUCUCUCUCUCUCUCUCUAUAUAUAUAUACAUAUUUGUGUUAUUUUUUUGAAAAAAAAAUUGAGAUAGGUUUUUGGGCAAAUGGACCAAAAUUGUUUUGGCCCAUUAGACCAAAACCACUCCUCCCAAGGUCGGAAGAUCUCCUAGGGAGGAGGGCUAAGCCCUUCUCGAUCCCCAGGAGCUCAGAUCCCAAGGCCAAAGGCAACUUGCCUUGGGCCUGGGUGUUUGGGCCGUGCUGGAUCGGUUGUCUCAGCCCAAGCGGGCCGUGCCGUGCCAAGCCACCGGUGUCUCCUUGGCCUGGCAGGGCCCAGGCCGGUUAACGGUCAUGCCGUCUGAAAGGAUAUAUGCAAUCGAAAAAAUCGCAACGGAAGAGAAAUUGAUUUUCAAAAUUUUAAAAACUUUCAAAAAACAGAUUAAACUAUUUAAUCUACAUGCAAUGGCCUAGGAUCCCUCGAGUUGUGAUUUAAAACCAUUGAACAAUUAAACAUAAUUUAAUUGUACCUUUGUGUAGGUAGAUCUACACCACUAUUUGCGAUCGAAUUGAUAACGGUCCUGCGAUGGUAGCCGCGCAUGUGCCCAUCCUCUAUCGGUAUCCACGUGAAGUCGGCGAAACCUUUCAAGCAUCGUUCGAAUCUCCAAAAUUGAACAUAGUGGAUUAUCUUUUGCUCCAAGGUCGUGCUAGCGCCUUCUAGAAUGAAUCGAGAAAAAUAACCAAGAAAACGGGAUCCACGCCGGAGAUCAAUUGGAAGAGAAUAUGUUGACUACUCGGCACGGCACACCACCCGAGGAGAUCACCACUGUAUGGACAAGAGAGAAAGAGAGAAAAUUGGCAAUAAUUAAUUAAUGCUUCUUGUCACACCCUGCGACCGCCUAUUUGGUCGGUUCGGGCGCGUCGACAGAUGCCGAACGAACCCCUGUCCGCCCAAGGCUCAACAAACACAAUCAUGUACAUCUAGUUGCCCAGGUAAGCAUAAAAAACAUACAUGAACAUGCGAGUAUAAUACAAGCGAGAGACAAGAGAGAAACUAGCUAUUACAUGAACAUUCAACCAUUUUUACGUGUUUCCACCAACAUGCAUACAUUGGUUUACAAUUCUUCUCAUAAUGCAUAUACAUCCAUAACAAUCUCACCCAAAAGUACAUCAAGUCUCUCAAAAAGAGGCACAUAACUCUAAUGCAUAGGAGGCCGCUACCUAGGGCGCUAUGCCCUUACCGCGGUCCUCAACCGGUCCACUUGUGCUCGGCCCUGCUACAAAGUGGGAUGAGAACUAAUAAUAGUUUCCAGUGGGUUCGGCUACCGACGCCACCGAUUUUCCUACUAGGUCUAAGCAGGCAUAAGUAGAAAAGGGUUAGCAAUAUAAUAAACAUCUAGCAUGCUACUAUGCCUUACAAUAUGAAACAAUAAACAGGUAUAGUAAACAGAUAAUAGCAACUACUAUGCUCAUGAUGCAUGCCAUUUUCCUUUCAUAACCCAAUCAUUCCGGCUAACCCGAAGAUUAAGCCCCGACUCACAGCCGAAUCGCGCAACGUGAGGAGACGUCCGCUACACUCACCCGGGACCAUCUGCGGUGUAGCUACGUUAACCCCUACCGUGAAGUACUCCAGAGACCACUGCUUUGAUAGAGCGACCACCGCCAAGCGAAACAACGUAUGUGAGCAUGAUCCAAUCCUCUAACCCGAGGAUAACCUGCCAACUAGUGGUAAUCAAGCCAAGGAAAAUACCGAUCCCAAUCCUCAUAACCUUAGUAACCACACUUUUCUAUCCAAGUGCCACAAUGUCACAAUGUCUCUAGAUAAUACCACAAUGUCAUAAUGUUCUCUAGCUAAUGCCAUAAUGUCACAAUGUCUUUAGCUAAUGCCACAAUGUGACAAUAUUCUCUUUGUCAUGUCAAAUGCCACUUUCGACGCCACAAUGUUACAAUUCUCAUUAUCAUGCCACUAUAGAGUUCUUUGUUCACCAAACAAUCCUCAUGCACAUAACACUAUGCUCCAUCUCAUAUUUCUACAAAUACUAUGAGAACAUACAAGGAAUGGAAUAUCCAACAAGCUACUCUACAAUGCAUAAAUGCUAUAUAUAACAUAUAUGGCCAAUGAAGUAACAUAGACAUAAAAGAAAAUCCGGAUGUUCCGAAUAGCACCCCCCAUGUAACACACUGAACUUUAGCAAAUUGCGAGGUUCGAGUGUUUGAUCUGUGUUUCGAGUUUUUCUAGAUAUUCUGGAGGGUCGUUGACAGUGUUCCGACCUAUGGCUUGCAUCCCGAGAAUCAAGGUUUAUAGCGUGGCGCCAAAGUCUCUAAAGUGGAAACUGUUGGCUACUCUCGGGUUGGACUCUGCAGGGCAGUGUACCGGUAAAGCAUUGAGUCUGUACCGGUACAACAUCGGGUUUGUACCGGUAUAACCAGCCGCUUUCUGUCAACCCGAGGCUCGGGUUGCUGUCUGGCUGAUUUUGUACCGGUACACUUUUUCGUGUACCGGUACACAAUGCAGUGCAGACUGCACGUAGUUGGGGGGUGCUUUUGCUAAUGUUGCAUUUCUAUUUAACACCACCACAGCCCUUUGAGGACUCUUUUGAGCCCUAGAACGUGGAGAACCAGGUAGAACUUCUCUCCCUUGAUUUUUCUCCCAUUUUGAUUGGUUUUAACUAGUUUUGGUCUCUCUUUUCUCCUUCUCCAUGCUUCAUGUUUGGUUUCCACCAUUGGAGAAGCUUUAAGGUUUUUGUUGGAGCUUGUUCGAAGGGAGAACUUCAGCCCUAGCACCUUCCUAGCUAGGUUUGGGACUUCAAGAUAGGUGAGUAAGCUUGAUUACUCAUUUGGAUCAUGUUUUGGUGGAAUUUUGGGGUUGAAACCCUAAAAUGUGAAAAUUAGGGUUUAAAAUGGAGAUUUUUUAUUUGAGGCUUUUGUAGCCCAAUUCAUCUUAUUAGAACCUUUGUUUAUGUUGGAUUUAAAGGGAUUUUACUCUUCUUUGGAGAUUGAGAGAAGUGUUCACCCUACAAGGUGAGUUUUUGCUCUUUUCUUGGGUUGGUUAAUAUUUGAGCUUAUUAAUGUUCGUUCGUUGCGUUUAACUCUCCUAGUUUAACCUUUAGAGAGCUAGGAGGCUAGUGGACACCUUCGUCGGUGCAAACGAAGGGCUACGAGGAGUUAGGGUGGGUUUGACCUCAUCAAAAAUAGAAAAACUCCACCUAUGUCGAUUUUUAAUUGCCGUAAAAUAGAAAUGCAUGCAUAUUCAUGCUAGAUAGAGCAUACGAGUUGUUUAGAAUGCUUAAAUUAUAUGUGUUAUGUAUGAUAAAAAAUUACCUCUAUAUAGUAGAGAGAGAUAAAUGCAUUGUUAGCAUGCAUGAUAAUAGCAUUCUAUUUAUGGUUGGAAUUAUGUUUCUUGCAAAGAAAAUGACUUAUAUAAUAUACUCUUGGACUUAAAACUCAUGUUUGUUAGAGUGGACAAAAGUGCCACAAAGGGGCACUCUACCUAGUAAAUGGUUAAACGCGGACAUUUACGCUUGCUUGCCAUUGUGCUCAUUCACACAUGCUUGUGAGGGUCGCUCCCCAUAAGCCGGCACUCCGGAGAUAGCCAUCACGACAUAAGCUCGCCCGUGCGGGAUUGGGCGCCGAAAUGGGAUGCUGUGGGGAAGGCUCAUUCCUAGAGUGGGGAUGUUGACUACCACAGGGCCAUUAGGCACGGCGCAAGCCGGACUAUCCACAGGUAGGUCCUACAUGAUUGGAACAUCANGAUUUCGAGGGAAAGAGAGAGAUUUAGAGAGGUUCUUCUCUCCCAAAACCACCUCUAACUUCGAGUUCCCACCCAAAAGUAGAAGUACCAGAGGAAGGAGAGGUAACCUCGUUCGAAACUUCCAUUCGAAAUUCUCGAAAUUACCGUAAAGAGAUAACGAACCCAAAAUUCGAGAUCUUUGCCAGAGAGAGAGGGAGAGUUUCUCUCUCCUUCAUUCCAUGCGUGUGUGCGUGUGAUGCUUGGGUGUGCACGGUUGAGGGAAGAAGAAGAAGCUGCUGCUUCUCUUAUAAUUAACGCCCCUCAAAACACUAUUCAUCCCGGGCAGCUUGAAAUCUAAUAUCUUUCGCCGGAGCUCCCUGAAUAUCCGUUUGAGCUCAAAUUUGACAGGCACGCUCGGUUUUACUUAAUAAGUCCAAAGAAAUUUUAAUAUUUCAGUUUCGACCCCGUUUGGUCACUAAAAACUAUACCGAACUGUAAUCUUUAUCAGAUAACUGUCGGAACUAUUUAAAUGUACACCGUAACUUCAUAGCUUUAGAAGUCCGGUACCUUACACGGCCCCCGAGAGCAACACUUCGCGCAGAAGGCCUUUUUGCCAUUCCUCUGCUUAUGGGGACCGGUCUUUCCCUCCAGGGACCGGUCCACGAGAGCAAAACUGCAAUUUUGCAGUUUUCACACUAACUUGCUCUCGAGACCAUCUAUGAUGCACUUUUUACCUUUUUAGCGAUUUCGGCCUUUCCAAAGCAUACCAACACGAUCCUUGGUUGAUUUUACACGAAGUCCAACUCUCGUAUUUCGAGAAUUCACUUCCUUACACCCCUCCCGCCGGUAGAAUCGUGCUUCGCUAGGGUGUGUGGCAUGUUCCCCUCCCUAUCGGGGGUCUUGGACCGCGGGUCGAGUGUGGCAUGUUCCCCCUCCCACUGGAAAGAUCCCUGACUACGGGUGUACGCAGCUCUGGGCGACCCGUAGGCGACGUGAUUGUGGAUUGAAGGCUGAGGUGUAUGCGAGUGUUCCUUCACCUCGAGCCGGACAGAGCGCGGAUUAUCCGCAGUUGAUUGACUCGAGGCCGAGUCGAGUGGCUAGCUUGAAUAAGGUAGAUGGAACCUUAGGGCUAGUGGUAAGUGACAUAGAUCUAAGGUAAUAGAAUGUUAGAGGCUAGUUGGAUGUGAGCUUGGUAACGAGGUACAAGUAGAAUCAGCAGAUCUACUUAUGAUAGUUGCAUUCUUGCAUGAUUGCAUAUAGUAUAGCAUUAUUGCAUUUGUGAGGCAAAGCAUAGUAUUGUUAGUUGCAUAAUUUAGAUAUUAUAUCUAUCUGUUUAUUGAACCAACCUGUUGUUGCCUCCCUUGGACCUGUUGGUCGAGCUUUUUCCUUGGGUGGCCGUAUCCACUGGGAACUAUGGAGUUGGUUCUCACCCCACGUUGCUUUGGGGUAUUACAGGUUCGCAUGUGAGCGGCGCAGCGGCGCUAGGUAAGGGCGUAGCUCCGUAGAUAGUGCCCUACCCCAGAGACCAGAGAUAGCAAUACUCCGAGUCGACAUAUCCUAGGGGUAUAGAGAUGAAAAGAUCAAAUGUAUCAAAUUGUAAUAAGUAAAUUGUAAUAACUCAGCUUGUAUGUUGGAAGAAAAAUGUAAUUGUGAUAUAAAAUGCAUCUAGUGUGAAUGCUUGUAAUAGCUUAGCUGUUAUGUUUUGAUACUUCCUUAUGCAAUCUGUAUGUUAAAUAUUGUUCCUAGUUGGAACCUCUUGUAAUUGUAUCGAUUGCGACGCCUAGGACGUACAGGGGAAACUCUGUCCGUUCGGCGGUCUAUCGGCGUGCCCGAACCCGACCAAAUAGGCGGGGCUCGGGGAGUGACACACAUGGCACAACCACCCGAGGGAUCUUUGCCGGGGCACUCUCCCCAUGGUGUCUACACUCCGUAGUACACCGCUUGAGGAGGAGCGACUUCCCUCAAGCCGGAACCAAUAUAUGUGAGUACGAUCCCAUCCUCAAUUUGAGGAAGUAUAGCCAACCUGUCUCAAGUCACAAUGUCUUAAUGUCAAUAAUAGGUUUCUACCUUAUCAUGUAUGUCACUUUACUAAGCCACACUUGCCACAAUACAUAGAAGGGUCUUUUCCUCGUCUAGCAUAUCAUACACUUAGCCACUCUUGCCAUAAUUCUCAUAUUGCUUAUAAGGGCUUACCCUACUUAGCACAUCAAUUCAUAAUGUCACAAUGUCACAUUAUCUAGGGCCACACUUGCCACAAUGUCCCCGAAUGUUGUAGUCAACAUUUCACAAUGCAUAUAAUGUUUAUCAACAUCAUAAUCUAACAUUCCACAAUGCUUUUAAGGUUUCACCUCAUCUAGUAUAACAUGUCCUCAGUGCCAAUCAUGCCACUAAUGUCAAUAUCACCUUUGUUUACUAUUUUCAUAGUCUCUUUCAUACAUUCACACACAUAUAGGGUUCUUUCAUACAUGGUACACAUGGUUCAAUGUCAACUCAUAUGUUCUCUACCUAGAAGCAUAUAAAUGAACCUCAAUCAACAAUCACAUGUCAGACUACCCUAUAUGCAUGAAUGCUACAAUACCAAUAUGCUCAAAUAAAGGCAACACAGAUAUAGAAGAAAAUUCAGAGAUUUCGGAUAGCAGCCCCUAGGAAUGCCGAGAAGCCCCGAUUCAAUUUUCACGAUUUUUAGACACUUACGCCACGAGCUGCGACAAUUUGUACCAAUUCGGCUUCUUUCUUCAAUAUCUUCGCGUACGCUCGUCGUAUAGCCGAACCGAGUGCAUCAACACGUUCGUUGACCUACCAAUUAGGUUAGAAUGAGAUCAAACUCAAGUUAGAUCUCAUAGUUUACAAAGCCCCAAUUUCUAACCCCUAUAGGGUUUACCAUCAUUCCCAAAUUGGUCCUUAGAUCAUGGAAGCCCAUGAAUAAAUCCAUCAUAGCUUCAUCGAGAAGCUAGAUCUAGAGGGAAAUACUCAAACCUUAAUAUUAAAACCACAAAACCCUCAAUUAACACAAUACUUAUCUCAACUUGAAGCUCUCUUCCAAGCUAGGUUGCCAUGAGAGGGUUUCAUCACCACCAAGCCAUCUCUUCUGUCACGCCCCGAGACCGCUACCAAUUUGGCCGGUUCGGGCGCGUCGGACAGACACCGAACGGACAGCACCUCCCCUGUCCGCCCACGGCUAAACAACGAGAUUGUGUACAACAAGUGCCGAGGAAAAACAACUUGAUCACAUACAUAAUCAAACAAUAGUGAGGGCACAACCAGUGCUAAUUAACUAAAGAGCAAGCAUCACAAGUAAUAAACAAGUGAAUAAAAGAGAGAUACUAAUCUAUUACAUCCAUACAACUUAAUAGAUUUGAUUGCUUUACAUUCUUCCAAAAUACAACAUAAACUUAAAGUUUACAAUUCCCCAAAAUGUCUCACACCUAUACAUCAUCUACUCUCAAGUAUGUACAAGGUAGCUCUAAUGCAAAGGGUAAGAAAGCUACUACUACAACCUCUAGGGCGCUAAGCCCUUACCGCGAUCAACUACCAGUCCGCUCUCAUGUGUACCUGUACCCUAAAACCACACGGGGUGAGAACUACAUAAAUAUAGUUCCCAGUGGGUUCGGCCGCCGACUCCGCCGAUCUUCCCACUAGGUCUAAGUAGGCAUAGAAAGACAGGUAGAUAGAUAGAUAGAUAGAUAGCUAUGCGGAAAUGAAAGCAGUAUCAACAUAGUAUAAAACGAUAUGAGUAUCAAACUAUGCCUCAAUCCAAUGCUAUGCAUGCAUGCACUACAUAGUGAAAUGCUAACUACCACACCACUAUGUCCAACAACGAUGCUAUUCAUCACAUCACCUAAUCCAUUGGGUUACCCCGCCUAAGACUUCAAAUCCUGUAGGUGAAGAGCUACCCCUGUAACACACUGAACCUCUGCCAAUUGCGAGGUUCGAGUGCUUGGAUGUAUUUGGAGCUUUUCCACACUUGGUGGAGGGUUGUAGAAUGUUUUCCGACCUAAAAAGUUCGAAAACUGGAAUUCUGGACAAGUCCUGAGAGUUUUUACUCUCGGGGACCGGUCCUUGGAAGGAGAGACCGGUCCCCGAGUGAGCAGUGUUGCGGCAGCCCUGAGGCAACCGGUCCCUGGCGGGCGAGACCGGUCCCCAAGCGCGCCUUCGCUGAGAGAGACCGGUCCCGCGCAGGGAGAGACCGGUUCCCGAACGUUGGUUCUCCGGGUUCGCAGCGAGAGACCGGUCCCUGCUGGGGAGAGACCGGUCCCUCUGGGCGAAAACUGCCCAGACCGGGCUGUUGUAAUUUUGGAUUUUUGGGGGACCUAGCUGGAUUUUGUUACAAUAGAGGGUCUAUAUGACCCAUCCACUCUCUCCUCUCCUCAUUUCUCUUCUCUCAACUCUCUCUACACCCUUGAUAGAGAAGAAGAAGAAGAAGGAGAAGGAGAAGAAGGAAGGAAGAAGAAGAAGUUUGAGAGCUACUAGUGGACUUGGAGCAUCUUCCUCACCCUCUCUUCUUCCUUGGUGCUUGGAGGUUGAACUUGGAGCUUGUCAAAGAGGAGAUCUUCACCCUUGGAGCUUGGAUUGGAGCUUCUAAGGAGGUUUGUUGCUCUUUUUCUUCCUCUAGACUUUGAUUUGAAGGUUUUUAGUAGAUGGAACCCUAGAAUGGAAUUGUAGGGUUGAUUUUGGGCAUUUUUGAUCUAGGGCUUUUGGGGCUAAAUUAGUUGGUUUAGAACCUUCCUUGGGCUUGGAUUGGAAGGGUUCUAGCUCUCUUUUGGAGCUUUGGAAGAGAUUUCUUCUCUUGAGGUGAGUUUUAGCCCUUUUGUCUUGUUGGUUAAUAUUUGAUCUUGUAGUUGAUCGUAAUGCCCGUGUAUCUCUUCGCUCAAUACUUUUAGGGUAUUUUGAGGCUCGUGGACAACUCCGUUCGGUGAAUCGAAGGAGCACGCGACGGUUCGGUGGGUUUGGCCUAGCCACACAAUGAGAAAUUCUCAUUUGUGAUGAAUUAAGUAUCAUUAAUUGAAAAAGCAUGCAUAUUCUUGUUAUAUGUAUUUAUUGUGAAUUUUAGAAUGCUUAAAAUGCCUAUGUUACAUAUAGUACAAUUUUGGACUCCUAUAUAGUAGAGAGUUGCAUAUGAAGCUUCUGUUUGAUUGCUUAGCAUUCUUAUGUUGGGCCAUGUUCCUUUUAAUGAAAAUGAGUUCGAUUCAUGCAUUUUAAACCUAAGUUUAAUUGAGACAUGAAAGGUAAUAAAAUUGCCAUGUAGGGGCACCGGACUAGAACAUUAUGUGAAUUAGAGAGCUAAUGUCAUCAAGCGGCAUUGAGCUCGGGACAUGUGUGAACCUAGUGGAUAGGGCCAUUGAGGGAUUUGGAAUAUAUGUUGAACAUUAAAUUGCCUAAGUGUCAUUAAGGGGCACUAGGCGUAGCAAAUGUUGAAACUUCACAUUGUGACUUAAACUAGAUCUUCGGGAUGCUAGUGACUAUACCAUGUUAGAGACAUGAGGAUUGGAUACUUGAGACUUGGACUAUGCUUGCUUGCCAUUUGUGCUCAUUCGCACAUGCUUGUGAGGGUCGCUCCCUACAAGCCGGCACUCCGGAGUUAGCCUACGCGACUUAUGUUCGCUCGUGCGGUAUUGAGAAGCCUACGGGGUCGAGUGGGACAGACACAUUCCAAGAGUAGGGAUGUCGGGCUACCACAGGCACUUAGGCGGCACAAGCUGGACUACCUUUGGGAGGUCCUUAAUUGGAAAUGGAAAUCGACACGGGGUGAGUUUGUUAUAAUCACUACUAAAUAGAGAGUGGUAGUUGGAUUACUCGGACUUGCUUCUGGCAUAGAUUUGGACUUUGGGUAUACAUACAUACAUGUAGUAUGCUAGGAGACAUUGCUUAAUUGCAUCCAUAUAAACAAUGUUGCUAUGAUAAGGGAUAAUCCUCAUAAUUUUAUUAAGCAAACCAUGAUAUUAUUUGUGGCUAAGUAGAGACAUAUCCUUCAUGACAAGAUAAUUGUGCAUUACAUAAAUGCCAUGUUUAAUUGCAAGUAAUAUUUUAGCAUUUUCAUUAUGCUUUUAUAGAUGCAAAUUACCCGUUAUUGCUAUUGCUUUUGACUUACCCUUUUCUUUUGGGCCUAGUGGUGCAAUGAGCUGAAGUCAGUAAUUGCCCACUGGGAACUAUAAAUUAUAGUUCUCACGCCCUCUGUUUUAUGUUUUCUUUCAGAGCCUUCCACGCCGGGAGAGGCUAGGGACCGCAGGAAGGGAGUUGCUUCGAGCUAACUUCCUUCGAGGACGAUUUGAUAGGUGGUCUACCUCUUGUGGUUUUAUUUUGUGAGAGGUUGUGAGUUGUACCCGUUUAUGUAUAGAGAUCACCCUUCUUUUGGAUCUUUGUUUUUCUUUUUGAGGAGAUAGUAUUGUACUACUUUAUGGCUACUUUUUAUUGUUUAGUUAUAUUUCUUUUACUCUGGUUUAGAUGAUAGAACUUUACUCGCUCUGAUAUCAUUAGUUAUCACUAUGCUAUUUGUUCUACUUCUUGCUUUACUUCUGCUUUUGUUGUAGACGCCUUAUAUGUGUAAGGAAGUGAAUUCUCGAAAUAUGAGGAUUGUACUUCAUCCAGGAUCGACUAAUCGUCGAAAGUAUACCCUUUGUGGGAGUUGAGAGUGUCCCAAACACAAAAAGUGCUUGGGAGUUGAGUCAGCGAGAGCAAAUGAUGCAAACUGCAUCAUUGGGCUAAGAUUACUCUCAGGGACCGGUCUCUGGAGGUGAGAGACCGGUUCCCCUGGCUGGGUGUAGCGGGGUUGCGUGAUGCAACCGGUUCCUGGCGGGGAGGGACCGGUUCCCGAACGCGUGCGCCGGAGGGAAGCUCUCGGGGACCGGUCCAAAGUCGGGGAGACCGGUCCCUCCCCGGGAGACCGAUCCUCACCGGAGAGACCGGUCCCCGAGAGCUUCCCUCGGGCGCACGCGUUCGGGAACCGAUCUCUCCCCGGGAGACCGAUCCUCACCGGAGAGACCGGUCCCCGAGAGCUCGAUUUUUCAGGACUUAGCCAAAUUUUGGCAUCUCUCGCUGGGACGACGUUCGGGAACCGGUCUCUUCCCGGGAGACCGGUCCCUCCGCGCGAAAACUGCCCAGUGAGGGCAGUGCGCAGGAGUGAAAGUUGAGGGGCUUUUACGCAAAAUGGCUUUUAUUUGAGUCGGCUGAGCCCUCUCUCUCCCUCACACUCUCUCAUUUCACUCUCUCUCACUCUCUUGCUCUCUUGCUCUCUCUCUCUCUGGAGAUAACAAAGAAAGAGAAGAAGAAGAAGGAGGAGAAGAAGAAGAAGGAAGAGAAGAAGAAGAAGAAGGAGGAGAAGAAGAAGGAGGCUAGGAGCAUCUUCCUCUCUCUCUCCUCUCCCCAUUGGUGUAGCUCAAGAGGUAAGCUACAACCCUAGCUUCUAGAACUUAGGGUUUUUGGGUUGUAUGCCUUGGAAUGGGUCAAAUGGACCCUAAGCAAGCCUCUAAAUAGAUCAAUCCCAAGAAUCUAGGGAUUUAUUAGGUGGUUUGCUAUAGGUGCAAAUCUAGGGCUCCAAAAUGGGGUUUUUGUAAAAGUAUGAUAUUGAUCUCAUUUGAAGCCUUGGAAACCCUAGAGAUAGGUCACUAAACGCGGGGGCGAAGUCGAUUUUGGCAUUCGACGAACCGACGUGAAGUUCUCGGCAAAAUCGGGCCGGGCUAGUGUUGAUUCGGGCGAGGAAGGCUAAAGCCUUUUCGUAAAGCUCGCCGAGAGAGAUUUCCGAAACCUCUACAUCGAUUAAAGGUGGGGGGUGUCAUCCGAAACUUUCGAACUCCUUUCUAUGUCUUAGAUUGCAUUUAAUCUCAUCUCUUCAUGUUGCAUUGUAGGAUUGCAUAGUAGCUCCAUUCCUUAUGCUUUAUAAUUGAUGACCUAGUGUACUUGGAACGCUUGGUAACUAGAUAGGUGAGGAUUGGGUCGGAAGGUGGUUCCUAUGAUGCUAAAGAUAGAGAUGAUCCCGAUGGGGGUGUUGAUGACAUAGAAAGUAGUGUUAUUGUAAAAGAACAAACGAGUGGCAUCCAAACAUUGAAUGAUAACGAGUGGCAUUAAUGUAGUGUAAAUAACACUAGAGGUCGAUGGACCUAGGGAUAGGUGGAUCCCUUAGAAAAUGCCUUGUGAACAAUGAAUUUAGAAAACUAAAUAGCAUUGCAUGAAUGUCGGGAACCGAUGAUUCCGCGAUAGUCGUUGACCCUUGUGUAGGGCGUCCUCACUUGGAGAGGAUUCGAUUGGGUAUUGACUCUAGUUGUAGAGUAUCCUCACUUGGAGAGGAUAGAUCUAGCUCACAGUCUGCGUUUGGGAUGGUAUAGCCAUCCAAUCCCCACAUGGAGGGGAUUGUCGUCGAGUACUCCGGAGUGUCGCGCGACUAGGACCACUUGGAGGUCCGGACCACAUGGAGGUCCGCAGACGGUCCCGGGCUUGGGUGCACUUGGAGCUCCCUCCCCACUUUGGGAUUUGAAGGUGAGUCAUGGGCGAGCCCUAGGGCCUCGCCACAGAUUGGGUAAAUGAAAAAGGUUAAAGGUUUAUUAAUGUCAUUGAACAUUGCUAUUCGAACAUGGAUCGAAAUUGUUAGCAUGGUAGCAAACCUUUAUUAUAUGAUGCAUGCAUUCAUAUUCAUGAUUAUGGGCAUAGUAGCAUAGCUUUCCUACUACCGCAUUUACAGCUUUCAGAUACAUAUCUAUUUAUCUGUUGUUACUUGUGCCCACUUGGACCUAGUGGGGAGAUCGGCAGAGUCGGCGGCCGAGCCCACUGGGAACUAUGGAAGAUAGUUCUCACCCCACUCUAUUUCCAGUGGUAGGUUCAGGGCUGCAGAGAGAGGACCGCGGCAAGGGCACCGCGCCCGAUCAGUGAGGCCGUGGUAGUGUAGUAGCUUUCCCUUUUGCAUUAGUACCCCUAUGUAUUGAGAGAGAUUCAUGUAGGUGAUGUUGGAGAGCUAUGUAUUUUGAGGAUCAAAUGUAUUCACUUUGGAAAAUGAUGUAAAGGUAAAGAAUGUAACUAUUGUAAUAGUUAGCAAACUACUCUCUUUAUUUCACUCGUAUAUCUUGUGGAUUCUUGCUCUUCUCGUUGUUGGCACUGUUUGUGCCCUCGUUGAAUGCGUAUGUUUAGAAUUUAAAGUCCUGGGUAAAUUCUUGUACACAUUCCUGUCAUUGAGCCUUGGGGGGACAAGGGAGGUGCUGUCCGUUCGGCGGUCCGCCGCCGCGGCUGAGCCGUGCCAAAUUGAUAGUGGUUUCGGGGUGGGGCGUGACAAUAUGUGUAGACAUAUGGCGGGUCUGGGCGCGCUACCGGGAGGGCCUUUGUCGGUCCCGGGGCGUGACAACCCCGCUCUUGUCUCACCUAAUUCAUAUAUCUCUAAGGUCAUAGGCAAAGAGCUACCUCGCUCCUCGCCCGACUCAAUCUCGAAGGUCUUAGGCAAAGAGCUACCCCGCUCCUCGCCCGACUCAAUCUCGAUCUCAUAGAUACAGUGCUGCUCCACUCAAAUCUCAUAGUAAAGACCAACCACCACACUACUAUAUGUUCAAUAGUUUACCCA
rnacentral:lncRNA from 1 species